AGAACUCAUUUUAACAACUCGCAGGUGCUCUGGGUGGGGAGGCAGGGAUGAGAGAUGGAUGGAGGAAAGGCACAGGCGUGCUCACUUGGUCAUCUUUGGUGUUCAAGAUAACAAUGGCCUUUAGUCACUAAGGCGGAGAUAAUUCUGCUCAGCAAGUGCUGUUCCCUCCAGGAGAAACGGGGACAAAUCCACAGUUGCUGGUGUCUGGUACUAACCAAAAAAGCGUCUCGGUCGGCCUUCAGACCCAGUGGCUUCUGUGACCACAUGGGGAAGGAGGUAUGCAGGAAGACCCAGGAUGAUUUCAUGCCCUAGAAGUGGAGGAGGGUCUACGGUGACGGCACAUGAUGUCAUUUACCACCUGGGCAUCUGGGCUCGUGCUUUACAGGCGUGUUGGUCACACGUGCCGCUCAGCUCAUCGUUCGGCUCAUCACUCCCCAGGCACGUGACUCGUCCUGCCCAGUAAGCUGUGAGCGGAAGUCCUGCUGUCAUGUGUGUCCUCAGGUCUGGGUGCUGGCCAGGCCCCUCCAAGCUCUUUGGCCUCUGCCGGUGGGAGCCUCAGGGUGGUGCCGGUGUCAUGACUGCCCUGCUGGCACCGUCUUGAGAUUCUUACCAAUUUGUGACCAGGGACCCUGCAUUUGCAUUUCGCACUGGCCCUCGUACAUGAUGCAGCCGGUCCCAUUGUGGGAGGAGCGAGGUGACCAGCUGACUGCCAGCUUGGGACGGCUCAGAGCCAAAGGCUGGCCCUGUGUACCAGUCCGGGCCAGGGACCUGAGGUUGGGAGAGGAAGGGCACUGAGGCCGGACAGGCAGGCGUCAUGGCUCUUUGAGGCCCAGCGGCAGCCAGACCAGCACCUACGAGAGCUAGGGGGCCCAGGCCAGGGUGCCACCAGCACGUGAAGGGCAGGCGGAGGUGAAGACUGUAUCCCUGAGCGCUUGGGGGGCCAGGCUCCCAUCACCACCCUGAUACUCUGAACGCGCAGGGAAAGCCCAGAAGGAAGGGGGCGGGGGACCAGGUAGAAAAUACCGAGCCACGAGCUACGUGCAGACGGAGCAGGACAGGAGGAGGCGAGGCUUUCAAGGUCCCCUUGCUGGGGGAGGGAGCGAAAGAGGCUGGGUCCUGAGGACGGGGCACGGUGACACUGAGGGAGCCUCUGUCACAGCAGCCAGACUGCGUGUUUCUAAGCAGAAAGGCCUGACAGAGAAGGGGCGUCUCUGGUUUCUGGAGGGAAGGUGACAACACAGCCAGAGGCUGUGUGUGUCUGUGUCGUGGGGCAGCUCUUAUCCCAGAAGGUCCCUACAAGUCACCCUCCUUCUGGGGACGUGAUCAAAACUGAGCAGAUCCUCACCGUCGCCGAAUUCUGAAUGAACUUGUUAAAGCAUUUUUAGUGUAAUGAAAACAUUAGGUCAAUUCCUAGCAGUGACGGUUGUCAUUAAAUCAAUAGCAUGUGCAGGCCAUCACGCUGACGGCUGACACGCACGCGUGAAGGUCUGCGAACAGCUGUGGAGAUGCAC